rnacentral:rRNA from 1 species
CAAUAGCGUAUAUUUAAGUUGUUGCAGUUAAAAAGCUCGUAGUUGGAUUUCGGUUAAGAGCGACCGGUCCGCCGUUUGGUGUGCACUGGUUGGUUUUAACUUCCUGUAGAGGACGUGCUCUGGGUUUAACGACCUGGACUCGGAGUCUACGUGGUUACUUUGAAAAAAUUAGAGUGUUCAAAGCGGGCUUACGCUUGAAUAUUUCAGCAUGGAAUAACACUAUAGGACUCCUGUCCUAUUUCGUUGGUCUCGGGACGGGAGUAAUGAUUAAGAGGAACAGUUGGGGGCAUUCGUAUUUCAUUGUCAGAGGUGAAAUUCUUGGAUUUAUGAAAGACGAGCUUCUGCGAAAGCAUUUGCCAAGGAUGUUUUCAUUAA